GACGAACGCUGGCGGCGUGCUUAACACAUGCAAGUCGAACGAUGAAGAAAAGAAUUGAUGCUUCGCCAGAAAUUCAUUCCGGAUUAGUGUCAGACGGGUUAGUAACGCUUGAUCAACCUACCUCUUACAAAGGGAUAGCCCCGGGAAACCGGUCUUCAUACCUUAUAACAUUUCGACGACGCAUUUCGAUGCAAUCAAAGCUACGGCGGUAAGAGCUGUGCUCGCGUCCCAUUAACCAGAUGGUGACGUAACGGCUCACCAUAGUCACGAAGGGUAACCGGUCUGCGAGGGUGAACGGUCACACUGGAACUGAGACGAGGUACAGAGUGCUACGGGAGGGAGCAGUGGGGUCUAUUGCACAACGCCGGGACCUCUGAUGCAGCGGCGACGCGUGAGUGAAUGAGGGAUUCGUGUCGUAAGACGCUGUUCUAUGGGCGGAAAAGGACUGUGCCAUAGGAGAAAGCUCCGGCUAAAUACGUG
rnacentral:rRNA from 1 species